UUUAUGGAGAGUUUGAUCCUGGCUCAGGAUGAACGCUGGCGGCGUGCCUAAUACAUGCAAGUCGAGCGAACGGACGAGAAGCUUGCUUCUCUGAUGUUAGCGGCGGACGGGUGAGUAACACGUGGAUAACCUACCUAUAAGACUGGGAUAACUUCGGGAAACCGGAGCUAAUACCGGAUAAUAUUUUGAACCGCAUGGUUCAAAAGUGAAAGACGGUCUUGCUGUCACUUAUAGAUGGAUCCGCGCUGCAUUAGCUAGUUGGUAAGGUAACGGCUUACCAAGGCAACGAUGCAUAGCCGACCUGAGAGGGUGAUCGGCCACACUGGAACUGAGACACGGUCCAGACUCCUACGGGAGGCAGCAGUAGGGAAUCUUCCGCAAUGGGCGAAAGCCUGACGGAGCAACGCCGCGUGAGUGAUGAAGGUCUUCGGAUCGUAAAACUCUGUUAUUAGGGAAGAACAUAUGUGUAAGUAACUGUGCACAUCUUGACGGUACCUAAUCAGAAAGCCACGGCUAACUACGUGCCAGCAGCCGCGGUAAUACGUAGGUGGCAAGCGUUAUCCGGAAUUAUUGGGCGUAAAGCGCGCGUAGGCGGUUUUUUAAGUCUGAUGUGAAAGCCCACGGCUCAACCGUGGAGGGUCAUUGGAAACUGGAAAACUUGAGUGCAGAAGAGGAAAGUAGAAUUCCAUGUGUAGCGGUGAAAUGCGCAGAGAUAUGGAGGAACACCAGUGGCGAAGGCGACUUUCUGGUCUGUAACUGACGCUGAUGUGCGAAAGCGUGGGGAUCAAACAGGAUUAGAUACCCUGGUAGUCCACGCCGUAAACGAUGAGUGCUAAGUGUUAGGGGGUUUCCGCCCCUUAGUGCUGCAGCUAACGCAUUAAGCACUCCGCCUGGGGAGUACGACCGCAAGGUUGAAACUCAAAGGAAUUGACGGGGACCCGCACAAGCGGUGGAGCAUGUGGUUUAAUUCGAAGCAACGCGAAGAACCUUACCAAAUCUUGACAUCCUUUGACAACUCUAGAGAUAGAGCCUUCCCCUUCGGGGGACAAAGUGACAGGUGGUGCAUGGUUGUCGUCAGCUCGUGUCGUGAGAUGUUGGGUUAAGUCCCGCAACGAGCGCAACCCUUAAGCUUAGUUGCCAUCAUUAAGUUGGGCACUCUAAGUUGACUGCCGGUGACAAACCGGAGGAAGGUGGGGAUGACGUCAAAUCAUCAUGCCCCUUAUGAUUUGGGCUACACACGUGCUACAAUGGACAAUACAAAGGGCAGCGAAACCGCGAGGUCAAGCAAAUCCCAUAAAGUUGUUCUCAGUUCGGAUUGUAGUCUGCAACUCGACUACAUGAAGCUGGAAUCGCUAGUAAUCGUAGAUCAGCAUGCUACGGUGAAUACGUUCCCGGGUCUUGUACACACCGCCCGUCACACCACGAGAGUUUGUAACACCCGAAGCCGGUGGAGUAACCUUUUAGGAGCUAGCCGUCGAAGGUGGGACAAAUGAUUGGGGUGAAGUCGUAACAAGGUAGCCGUAUCGGAAGGUGCGGCUGGAUCACCUCCUUU
rnacentral:rRNA from 1 species